GAUGAACGCUGGCGGCGUGCCUAAUACAUGCAAGUCGAGCGAACGGACGAGACGCUUGCUUCUCUGACGUUAGCGGCGGACGGGUGUGUAACACGUGUAUAACCUACCUAUAAGACUGGGAUAACUUCGGGACACCGGAGCUAAUACCGGAUGAUAUUUUGCACCGUAUGGUUCAAUAGUGAAAGACGGUCUUGCUGUCACUUCUAGAUGGAUCCGCGCUGCAUUAGCUAGUUGGUAAGGUAACGGCCUACCAAGGCAACGAGGCAUAGCCGACGUUGUUGGGGGAUCGGCCACACUGGAACGGAGACACGGUCCAGAGGACUAAGAGAGGCCCCAGUAGGGAAUCUGACGCAAUAGGCGAGAGCCUGACGGAGUGGCGCCAAGUGAGUGAUGAAAGUCUUCGGUUCGGAAAAAUCUGUUAUUGGGGGAGAACAGAUGUGUAAGUAGCUGAGCACAUCUUGACGGUACCUAAUCAAAAAGCCACGGCUAACUACGUG
rnacentral:rRNA from 1 species